rnacentral:lncRNA from 1 species
UGACAGCAUGUUUACGCCAGGAUAAAACCAACACGACCAGUGAAGCAAGGAUCAUGACAUCACAUAUUUACCUAGGAUAUAAAACAAAUACAGAAGAGGCAGCUAGAAACGAAAACAAGAAACCUUGACCCGGUACAAAGAAGCAGCAACCUCCAAGAUAUACGCCCUGCAAAACAAAAUAGAAGAACUCAUUAGGACAAGGACCAUGAUAACUGCUCAGAUGCUCUGCAGUUAGCAUAUUAGUCUAUUAGAAAGCCAUCUAUCAUGCACUGAGCAGUCUAGUUAAUGGUCAGAAUAUGAGCUUGGUUUCUUAUGAGACAUUAAGUCCAUAUUUGUAGAUGCCUGACAGAGUGGCCUCCUUAAUCCAUAGGAUGAGCAUUUUAGGAUUAUUUGGAAACCACCUUCACAAAGUUCACCCAAGGAUCUUUAGGUUCGGGGUGUUAACUAAUUUUACAUUUUUUACAGAACUUUGUGCCAAAAAGGACCAUUAAAACUGGACAGGACGAGUGAUAUUGGAUUCAAGCAACCUCACAAAAUCCACCUUUCACAAAAUACUGGACCAACGAGUGGUUUGUAAUUUUAACCAAUAGAUUGAGUGAGUUAACUACUUAUAUAGCCUUUCUGACAAAACCAUGUGCAGAAAGCGACCAUUAAUACUGACCAGACACGAGUGAUAUUGGAUUCAAGCAAAACACAUAUCUGUAACUAUAAGAAAUGCCACUCACCUUAACUUCAAAGGCAGCACCGACAAGAAAAGCAUGCAAGAUCAACAAGAGCACCAAUUCCCAGCAGCAGCAAGAAUAAACCGACCAGUUUCUAGCAGCAGCAAGAUGAACCGAAAGAAAAGGUGCUCAUUAUGAGAUAGGCAUUUCAUCGAAUAAUAGGAAAAUAUGGGAAAGGCACCUCACCUCAAGGAUGAAGGCAAUAACUUCCUAAGAAUGGGAAUGCAGAACACACGGGCAACAAAAUAAACCUGCAGAUGAAGAACACAAAGUUAGCAAUGUGAAGUAAGAAGAUGGUGAUGAAAAUAACAGCCAGGUCGGACGAGAGCA